ACCCUCCAGAUUCUUCACCCCUCAGACCUAAACACUGUUCUGAAUGGUUAUAAAAGGAGGGAAAGUAAAUGUGAGAAUGACUUGGAUAAUUCUGUGACAUAUAAAAAAAGUUUAGCACGAAAACCC
rnacentral:snoRNA from 1 species